GACGAACGCUGGCGGCGUGCUUAACACAUGCAAGUCGAACGCUGAACCCGCUUCGGUGGGGGAUGAGUGGCGAACGGGUGAGUAACACGUGGGCAACCUGCCCCCGGCUCUGGGAUAACUCCAAGAAAUUGGGGCUAAUACCGGAUGUGACCGCUGGCCGCAUGGUCUGGUGGUGGAAAGGGUUUCCGGCUGGGGAUGGGCCCGCGGCCUAUCAGCUUGUUGGUGGGGUAGUGGCCUACCAAGGCGACGACGGGUAGCCGGCCUGAGAGGGUGACCGGCCACACGGGGACUGAGACACGGCCCAGACUCCUACGGGAGGCAGCAGUGGGGAAUAUUGCGCAAUGGGCGGAAGCCUGACGCAGCGACGCCGCGUGGGGGAUGACGGCCUUCGGGUUGUAAACCUCUUUCAGCAGGGACGAAGCGCAAGUGACGGUACCUGCAGAAGAAGCACCGGCCAACUACGUG
rnacentral:rRNA from 1 species